rnacentral:rRNA from 1 species
UACGUAGGGGGCAAGCGUUGUCCGGAUUUAUUGGGCGUAAAGGGCGUGUAGGCGGUUUGGUAGGUCCGCUGUGAAAACUCGAGGCUCAACCUCGAGACGCCGGUGGAAACCAUCAGGCUAGAGUCCGGAAGAGGAGAGUGGAAUUCCUGGUGUAGCGGUGAAAUGCGCAGAUAUCAGGAAGAACACCCGUGGCUAAGGCGGCUCUCUAGUACGGUACUGACGCUGAGACGCGAAAGCGUGGGGAGCGAACAGG